rnacentral:tRNA from 1 species
CGUUGAUCUAGGGAGGCUUUAGCUUAAUUAAAGUGUCUGAGUUGCAUUCAGGAGAUGUAUUUUAAGGUUGUACAGGCCUU